rnacentral:rRNA from 1 species
UACAGAGGGUGCGAGCGUUGUUCGGAAUCAUUGGGCGUAAAGCGCUUGUAGGCGGCUUGUUAAGUCGCGUGUGAAAUCCCUUGGCUCAACCAAGGAAGUGCGCGCGAAACUGGCGAGCUCGAGUGCCGGAGAGGGUCGCGGAAUUUCCGGUGUAGAGGUGAAAUUCGUAGAUAUCGGGAGGAACACCAGUGGCGAAGGCGGCGACCUGGACGGACACUGACGCUGAGACGCGAAAGCGUGGGUAGCAAACAGG